GAAACACACCUGUGUUUCUUUGUCCAUUCCAUUCAUUUGGGAUGGUGAUUUUUUCCCUUCACCGAGCACCUGCAGUAAGAGAAUUCCACACUCCAAGUCCCUGCCCUGGAUUUUCUGGUUUUCUGUGUUGGAGGAGACAAGGGGAGUUACAGUAAAAAUGACAGGAAGGUCGGCGUGACCGUGGCUUAAGAACUGGGACCCUGAGUUUGACAAAUGCUGCAGCCUCACAUGAUUUUGCUCCGUGCCUUCUGGAUCUGUUACAACUGGCAGUAGUUCCAACACAAUGCGUUUAUUGUGCUUCCAGGAGGGCAGUUGUACCUGGGAAAGCAACACAACUCAGAGUUCUUCUGAAAUUACUCAGCUCUGGCUGGUGUGACACUCUUGGUGUGAGACUGAGCCCCAGCUCCCACCUCUGCACCCUCUGGCCAGAAGAGGCAAAGCUCUCCCCGAGGAGAAGCUGCUGGGACAGGAAGCACUGGGCAGGUGCUGUGCAGCUGCCCCGUGUUUGGGAAUUGCUGUGUGUUGUCUUUCAGCGAGGCAGCUCCCCUGGAAUGGAGAUUUUCACCUCAGGCUUGCCCCUCCUGCAGUGCCAGAGCUGCUGAGCUGUGCCACAGACUGGCUGGACAAUAUCCUUCACCUGGGAACACCAGGUACCCACAGGAAAGAAGGCAUUUUUCUUUGGCUGAAAUGGAUCCUUAAAAAACAUAUUCUGAAAUAAGUGAAGAGAAAGGACCCACAGUGCAGGAAAUGUCCACGUUGAGAAUGCAGAUUCUGUUCCUGCUUUGUCCCUGCAAAGCCUGGAGUCCUUGUGCUGCUGUCCUGAGAAUGCUAUAAAAGAGAAAAUUACCAAGUUGGAGGGUCGGAUGAGUAGAAAAUGACGAGCUGCUCGUCGGUGUGCUCAGCCUUGGCUGAGAUUGCAUCUGCUGCAGGUGUGUGGCACACAGAGCUCCUGAAGCUCCUGCAGCAGCCCUGGAGCGUGGCACAGCAGUGCUGCUGCCUGUGCAGCCUCUCCUGAGGCACAGCCCAGCCAUGCCAGAGCCCUGCAUGUCCCCGGGGAUCGCCCUCCCUCCAGGGCUGGGCACCCCACAAGCACCAGAAAGUUCUUUCCAUGAGCUGAGUGGUCACAUGAAGGAGCCCAGGUCCUGCAAGGAUGAAGUAAAUGUUGGAGAAGCCAGUUGGUGACCUUUCCCUCCCAGCUUCCCUGGCUCCAUUCUCCAACUCGGCUUCAUCCACUGGGGGUGAUCUCCAGACCUCUGAGCUCCUCCCUUGUCCUCCCUGGAUUCCCUUCAUGUCACAGCCUCACGGGCACAGUGUGCAGAGCAGAUGACAUCUCCCCAGGUAGGACUGAGCCCUGCAGAAGGAUAAUUUCCAUAUUUUGGUGGCCACAGUUCCAUUUGCUGUCCCAGUGAUGCCUCUCAUCCUCAGCUCCCUUCCCCACCUGGAGUGCCACCAUUGAUUGUCUCUGCCCAGGUGUGGGGCUGCUUUGUCUCUCUUCAGCCACAGGUGUUCUUUGAAGGUGAUUUCUGCAAUGCCAGGACCUUUUUGGAUUUCAGCCCCUUGCAGUGCCAGCAGCCAGUUUAAGCAGCUCACCCCUCCUCUGGCAUGCAAGUCAUUAAUGAAGAAAUUAAUAAUGCUCAGUUCAAGGGACUGAGGCAAUGAAGAGAGCUCUGAUUUGCAAAGCUGAAUAAAACAAAAGCACAGAGGAACCUGGCUGGGCGUGCUGACCUUCUUUUCAGUUUUCAAGCAACUCCAAACUGAAUCUGGCUCAGAACUGGCCGUGAUCCUCGUUUUCAUGCAGAGCCAUUAACCUCUCACUUACUGAGGCAAGCAAACUGUUAUUUGCUGGUAUAAAAAACCACCUCUGGCCUUCCUCAUUUUCUCCUGAGACAUCUGAAAAUGGCCUGAACCUCCUGUGGGGUCUCGUCCCUGCUCUCCAGAGCCCUGUCCAAGGGAGAACCACCCCAACAUCCAGACUGGAGCUGUGCAGAGAUGGACAGCAGGGAAGGAGCAGCUGGGCACCAAAGCUUUGUCUGGAGUGCAACCACUGAGGAACAUGCUAAAGAUGUCUCUGAUUUUCCAUCAGGAUCAGGAUUUUCACAGAACUCAGUGCAAGGGCAGAGGAAUGCCAGAAUCCCACCAAGCAAGCCAAGGCAGUGUCCUGCUGGAAUCCCAAAUCCCCCCGUGCCCCUGCCCAGCAGGGCUCUGGUGCCUCCUGCCCUGCCUGGGAGCCUCUCCCUGAGCUGUGGGAGGUGGGAAUUGUCCCUCUCAGGUGUGUGCAGCAGCCCUCACCCACCCCUGGCUGCUUCAGCCCGUUCUUGAUGGCCAGCCAAACCCAGCACGCCGCUCCCCACGGAGUGCACACACACAUGAGGUAAGAACAGCCAUAAAAGCUUCUGAGGCCUCUUAAUUUCCCCCCUUUGCAUCAUCUGUCAUGAAGGCUCGCUGGAGAUGGGCUGUGCUCACUCAAGGCACAGCUAAUGUGCUUUUGAUGCUGCUGUUUGCAAAAUCUCUGACUUACUGGCAAUAAAUCCCAGGGCUGUGCCUGGGAAAGGAGAAUUUGCCAGCCUGUGCAUUGCAGGUGGCACUUGAUAAAUGCAGGAAUGCUCUAGGAGUGGUUGGGUGCUGGGCUUGAGGAGAGGAAUCCCCAAAAUCUCAGAUUUUGGGAGACAGAGUCUAUCAAAACAAAGUGAGGAACGCGCUGCUGGCGUGCAGCUCCUGCCAAGUGGAAGCUGAAACCAAACUGGCAGAAACACCAGGGACUAUUUUUUUUUUUUUCUAAAAAAGCUCCACUCUUUGGGUGUAAAAACCUAGAAAAUGUGGUUUUUUCUUGCUGUUUCUGCUCACAGGACCUGCCAGGCUGCUCCUGAACAUGUGUGACACUUUGGCAGCCGUGGGCCAGGUGGGAUCCCGAGCUCACCUGGGGCUGUGAAGGGCGAGCAGGGCCACAGGAGUUCCUCCCACACCAACCCCUUUGGCCUUUGCUGCUCCUGAGUCUUCCCCAGCAGGAUUCAACAACUGUGCAACAUCCCUGGAACUGCAGGGCUUGGAUGCUAACUGUGGGGGAAAUCUUUUGGGAGGGAUGGAAGGGCUGGGCAUCCCAGCAGGCUGAGAGCUCAGGACCAGGAAAGGAAGGAUUUUGCUCCCUUUGUGCCCUCCAGGCAGAUUCUGGCAGCUCUCAGCAUCCCUUGGAGCAGGGCAGGGUGAGAGGGUGUCCUGCCCCAGCAGGGGAUGUUUCUCCUUGUGAAAAUCCAGGAGAAUUACCAUUAGAACCCUGUGCCUGCCAUUAAAGGGACGCUCAUGCUGCACUCCCUGUGUUCUUGGAGGUCUCAUCUGGGAAUAAAAAGUUUCAAUUGGCUGAUAAGUAGUGAUUCAUUCUCAAAAAAGCCCAAACAAAUCAUACUUCCCUUAAUUCAACUCCUGGAAUUUUUGGUUAAUAUCUGAUUCCACGGUCUGAUCCAUCUCCAAUUCAUCCUCUCUUGUCUGGCUGCUUUUAAUAACUGCAACACCCUCAGCUGUUGUUUUGUUUAGGUAAUAGAGAACAAUUCAGCCUGAAGAAAAUUAAUUUUCCUGUUUCACGUGGCUUUGGGUUUCUUUCUUUUCUUUUUUUGUUACUUGUAGUUUUUAAAAUGAAUUCUAGAAAAUAGCAAUGAAAAUAUGGGAGGGGAGUCUGAAGUAAACAUUGAUUUUUACAGUGCAAUAAUUUAUGGUACCAACUUAAUAAGUGGUGUGACACGAGCAGCUCACCCCCCAUUUAUCAUGCAUUGAUAGUUUGAUUCCAGAACUUUUACCACCACUGCUCACUGUGACAUAAUAAAGGACCUGCCAACAUUCCCAUUAGAACCAGGAGACUUCAGGAGUUCUGCUCCAGCUAUAAAUAUCAGUGCUUGGAAUCUGUGAAUUAUUUUGCAGAGUAGCAGCCUCGGGAUGACGUGUUCCAGCAGCUACCAAGAAAUCAGACUUUGCCACUUUUGAACUUGAGGAGGACAUCUCCCUCCUUCCAGAAGAAAAGGCUCAGGGAUGCUUUUCAUUAUGCCCACCAUCAAAAGUUUACCAACUCAGAGACAGCUGCUGAGCUGAAAUAAAUCACUUUAGUUCCCCAGAUGGCGAGGAGGAGCCAGCAGUGUCCACGAAGAGGUUCUGGGGAGGCUGGCUGGAGCUGGGCAGGGGCUCUGCCAGGGCAGGCACACAAAGAGCAGCUGAGUUCAGCUCAGCUCUGCAGAGCCCAGCUCAGGAGUGCCCAGAGCAUCCUGCUCAGGAGGGCACAGGGGAGCCUGGUGAGUGCCAGUCCUGCUGCAGGUUCAGCACCAUGAUCUCAGUGAUUUCUGCAGGUGUCACAAUGAUCUCUGCAGGUGACAGCACUAUGAU